CCGUGAUCAAGAACACUUUCGGGACCAUGAAUGGAGGAGGAGUUGCUUUAAAGCUUAAGGUUUGGGCAUGAGAUAAUAUCUUUGGAUUCUGAUCCAACUCUAUCAUUGAGAUCAGUAAAAUAUGAUCUAAUCCACCAAUUUGAUUCAUGUUCAAUUCGUCAUUAACAGAUUUGGAUUUAGACUAAACGAAUUUGGAUAACAAAUAAAUUGACUCAUUUAAUUCGUUUAAUAUUUAAGUCGAAUUUGAAUUUCAGAUAUU
rnacentral:lncRNA from 1 species